rnacentral:rRNA from 1 species
AGACAGGUGCUGCAUGGCUGUCGUCAGCUCGUGUCGUGAGAUGUUGGGUUAAGUCCCGCAACGAGCGCAACCCUUGUCAUUAGUUGCUACAUUCAGUUGGGCACUCUAAUGAGACUGCCGGUGACAAACCGGAGGAAGUGGGGAUGACGUCAAAUCAUCAUGCCCCUUAUGACCUGGGCUACACACGUGCUACAAUGGGCGGUACAAAGGGUCGCGAACCCGCGAGGGGGAGCCAAUCCCAAAAAGCCGCUCUCAGUUCGGAUUGCAGGCUGCAACUCGCCUGCAUGAAGCCGGAAUCGCUAGUAAUCGCGGAUCAGCAUGCCGCGGUGAAUACGUUCCGGGCCUU